rnacentral:rRNA from 1 species
GACGAACGCUGGCGGCGUGCUUAACACAUGCAAGUCGAACGGAAAGGCCCUGCUUUUGUGGGGUGCUCGAGUGGCGAACGGGUGAGUAACACGUGAGUAACCUGCCCUUGACUUUGGGAUAACUUCAGGAAACUGGGGCUAAUACCGGAUAGGAGCUCCUGCUGCAUGGUGGGGGUUGGAAAGUUUCGGCGGUUGGGGAUGGACUCGCGGCUUAUCAGCUUGUUGGUGGGGUAGUGGCUUACCAAGGCUUUGACGGGUAGCCGGCCUGAGAGGGUGACCGGCCACAUUGGGACUGAGAUACGGCCCAGACUCCUACGGGAGGCAGCAGUGGGGAAUAUGGCACAAUGGGCGGAAGCCGGAUGCAGCAACGCCGCGUGCGGGAUGACGGCCUUCGGGUGGGAAACCGCUUUCGCCUGUGACGAAGCGUGAGUGACGGUAAUGGGGAAAGAAGCACCGGCUAACUACGU